rnacentral:rRNA from 1 species
AUUGAACGCUGGCGGCAUGCUUUACACAUGCAAGUCGAACGAUUAAAGCUCUCUUCGGAGAGUGCAUAAAGUGGCGCACGGGUGAGUAACACGUAUGUAAUCUGCCCUCGAGUGGGGAAUAACGUCCGGAAACGGACGCUAAUACCGCAUAACGCAGCGGCACCGCAAGGUGACAGUUGUUAAAGGAGCAAUCCGCUUGAGGAGGAGCUUGCGGCAGAUUAGCUUGUUGGUAGGGUAACGGCCUACCAAGGCUACGAUCUGUAACCGGUCUAAGAGGACGGUCGGUCACACUGACACUGAAUAACGGGUCAGACUCCUACGGGAGGCAGCAGUCGGGAAUUUUGGGCAAUGGGGGAAACCCUGACCCAGCAACGCCGCGUGAAGGAUGAAGUAUUUCGGUAUGUAAACUUCGAAAGAAUAGGAAGAAUUAAUGACGGUACUAUUUAUAAGGUCCGGCUAACUACGUGCCAGCCGCCGCAGUAAAAC